GACGAACGCUGGUGGCGUGCCUAAUACAUGCAAGUAGAACGCUGAAGGAGGAGCUUGCUUCUCUGGAUGAGUUGCGAACGGGUGAGUAACGCGUAGGUAACCUGCCUGGUAGCGGGGGAUAACUAUUGGAAACGAUAGCUAAUACCGCAUAAGAGUAGAUGUCGCAUGACAUUUGCUUAAAAGGUGCAAUUGCAUCACUACCAGAUGGACCUGCGUUGUAUUAGCUAGUUGGUGAGGUAACGGCUCACCAAGGCAACGAUACAUAGCCGACCUGAGAGGGUGAUCGGCCACACUGGGACUGAGACACGGCCCAGACUCCUACGGGAGGCAGCAGUAGGGAAUCUUCGGCAAUGGACGGAAGUCUGACCGAGCAACGCCGCGUGAGUGAAGAAGGUUUUCGGAUCGUAAAGCUCUGUUGUAAGAGAAGAACGAGUGUGAGAGUGGAAAGUUCACACUGUGACGGUAUCUUACCAGAAAGGGACGGCUAACUACGUG
rnacentral:rRNA from 1 species